rnacentral:rRNA from 1 species
UACUUUCAGCAGUGAGGAAGGUGGGUAUGUUAAUUAGCAUAUUCAUUUUGACGUUUAGCUGCAGUAAGAAGCACCGGCUAACUCCGUGCCAGCAGCCGUCGGUAAUACGGAGGGUGCGAGCGUUAAUCGGAAUUACUGGGUCCGUAAAGUCGCAUGCAGGUGGUUUGUUAAGUCAGAUGUGAAAGCCCGGGGCUCAACCUCGGAAUUUGCAUUUGAAACUGGCAAACUAGAGUACUGUAGAGGGGGUAGAAUUUCAGGUGUAGCGGUGAAAUGCGUAGAGAUCUGAAGGAAUACCGGUGGCGAAGGCGGCCCCCUGGACAGAUACUGACACUCAGAUGCGAAAGCGUGGGGAGCAAACAGGAUUAGAUACCCUGGUAG